GAGAGUAGGCGUAGGCGGUUGCAGAAUUGUGAUCACGACAGUUUUGAGGAAAGUCCGGACUCCCGAAAGACCAAACUUGCUGGAUAACGUCCAGUGCGAGUGAUCGUGAGGAUAGUGCCACAGAAAGAUACCGCCUAUUCAGUGAACAGUGAACAGUGAACAGUUAUCAAAUAUUAACUGUUUACUGAUAACUGAAAACUGAAAAAGGUAAGGGUGCAAAGGUGCGGUAAGAGCGCACCAGCAGCGUCGAGAGGCGUUGGCUCGGUAAACCCCGGUUGGGAGCAAGGCCAGAGGAACUACGGUUGGUCUUUUACCAGUUCCGCGCAUAGAGAGCCGCUAGAGGCGUUUGGUAACAAGCGUCCCAGAUAGAUAACCGCCCUCAUGUAAAAUUUUUUACAUAGAGAACAGAACCCGGCUUACUACCAACUCUCUCUC
rnacentral:RNase_P_RNA from 2 species